CCUACGGGAGGCAGCAGUGAGGAAUAUUGGUCAAUGGGCGGAAGUCUGAACCAGCCAAGUAGCGUGCAGGAUGACGGCCCUACGGGUUGUAAACUGCUUUUAUACGGGAAUAACGCGCCUUACGUGUAGGGCUUUGCAUGUACCGUAUGAAUAAGGACCGGCUAAUUCCGUGCCAGAAGCCGCGGUAAUACGGAAGGUCCGGGCGUUAUCCGGAUUUAGUUGGUUUAAAGGGAGCUUAGGCCGCAGGGCAAGCGUGCUGUGAAAUGUCCGGGCUCAACCCGGGCCUUGCAGCGCGAACUGGCGUGCUGGAGGCCGCGGGAGGCAGGCGGAAUUCGUCGUGUAGCGGUGAAAUGCUUAGAUAUGACGAAGAACCCCGAUUGCGAAGGCAGCUUGCUGCAGCGGAACUGACGCUGAUGCUCGAAAGCGCGGGUAUCGAACAGGAUUAGAUACCCCUGUAGUC
rnacentral:rRNA from 1 species